rnacentral:rRNA from 1 species
CACUCCUACGGGAGGCAGCAGUGGGGAAUUUUACGCAAUGGGGGAAACCCUGACGUAGCGACACCGCGUGAGCGAAGAAGCCCUUUGGGGUGUAAAGCUCUGUCAGCUGGAACGAAAACAAUGACGGUACCAGCAGAGGAAGCAUCGGCUAACUACGUGCCAGCAGCCGCGGUAAGACGUAGGAUGCGAGCGUUGUCCGGAUUUAUUGGGCGUAAAGAGUUCGUAGGUGGUUUGUUAAGUUUGGUGUUAAAGAUCGGGGCUCAACCCUGGGACUGCACUGAAUACUGGCAGACUCGAGUGUGGUAGAGGCUAGUGGAAUUCCCAGUGUAGCGGUGAAAUGCGUAGAUAUUGGGAAGAACACCGGUGGCGUAGGCGACUAGCUGGGCCAUAACUGACGCUGAGGAACGAAAGCCAGGGGAGCGAAUGGGAUUAGAUACCCCUGUAGUCCC